rnacentral:lncRNA from 1 species
AGACUAAGUCUCACUAUGUUGUCCAGGCUGAUGUCUAACUCCUGGGCUCAAGUAAUCUGCAUACCUCAGCCUCCCAAAGUGCUAGGAUUACAG